rnacentral:lncRNA from 1 species
GAAAUAGCUGAUAUGGCUACCUCAGAAGUGCCAGGGAGUCAAGCCAGUCCUAAUUCAGUGCCUGGGGAUGGAUUGCACCGGGCUGGUUUUAAUGCCUUUAUGGCAGGUCAUGUGAUGGCCUAUGUGGGAGUGAGACAGGGACCCCAGCCCUGCAGCUCUGGACCCUGGCUCCCUGAAUGCCAUAAUAAGGUAUAUUUGAGUGGCAAAGCUGUACCCCUCACAGUGGCCAAGAGCCAGUUCUCCUGUUCCUCCAAAGCCCACACUCAGAAGAUAAAGCUGGCUCGGGGCAGCAGCUGA